rnacentral:lncRNA from 1 species
AUUUUAGCCAAAAUGCUGUAUUUAUUGAAUUUACAGUGAUACAGUUGAUAUUAUUUCUCCAGAUAAUAAACAGGAUUACAUCCUGAUGUAGCACAGUAUUAUUCUCUUUGACAAGGCAAUCAGUCAUUUCUACAUUCAGUGUCAACAAACUCUGAGCCCCAAAUGGCACCCUAUUCCCUAUGUAGGGCACUACUUUAGACUAGAGUCAUAUGGACCCUGGUCUAUAUAGGGAGAAGGGUGUCAUUUGGGAUGGAUCCUACAGUAUCCCUCUCUCUCUAACUCUCUCUUUCUUAAGUGGCUUGGGGCUCAGAGAGAAACUCUUAAAGGGGGGAGAAGGGCAGAGGGAUGAGGGGUGGAGGGAUGGAGGGAUGGGGUGGAGGGAUGGCAGGACAGAAGGGUGGAGGCAUGGAGGGAGAGAAGGGUGGAGGCAUGGAGGGAGAGAAGGGUGGAGGCAUGGAGGGGUGGAGGGAUGGAGAGAAGGAUGGAGGGAUGGAGCGAGAGAAGGAUGGAGGAUGGAGAGAUGGAGGGAGAGAAGGGUGGAGGGAUGUAUGUAAGACAGGAUGACAGUCGACAGCCUUAAAUAAGGCCUGAGGGGAGGAAAGGAAAAGAGUUGCCACACAGUCUACAGUGUGUGGAGAGAAAUGUGAAGCUAGCCCUCUAUGCGAAACUGAAUAAGCCCCCAGGCUGAGUCUCCCGGGUAGGAAAUUGGCUAACAGUGUUAGCGAGCCAAGAGCAACCUUCUGGCUUGGUCUUUAUGUUUCAUUUAGAUCUUAUUUGCUACAUGCACACAAAGUCAAUGGAACUCUUCAGCACGUUUUACAUAGAACCACUGGCCGUGUUCUAGAACUUCUAGUGUUCUACAGUAGAAUUCUCUGGCUGUGUUCUAGAACAUAGUAGAGUCACCUAGCUAGCUAAUACAGUGGUUCUCAAUCCUGGUCCUGGGGACCCAAAGGGGGACACAUUUCUGUUUUUGCUCUAGCACUACACACCUGAUUCAAAUCAUCCAAGCUUGAUGAUCAGUUGAUCAUUUUAAAAUCAGCAAAAACUAAAAUGUGUCCCCCUUCGGGACCCCAGGACCAGGAUUGAGAACCACUGAUUGAACAGAUAAGGUGACACUAUAAACUAUUUAAAAAGUGGAAUAAAAACAGGGUGAUGAAAGUGCAAUCACUUUAAAAAUGAUUAAAAACUUAAAACUCAGCGUUUAAAAAUACUUUAAAAAAACAUUCUCAUCAGAACAAGUGUGUUAAACAUACUGGUCUGUUUCUCAGAGCAAUAUAGACCAGAUUACUACUGAGAUCAUUGUACACACACUCAUCAAAUCAAACUAAUAUUUUAUGCCCAAACUAAUGCUCCGAUGUACAUAAAUAGAUAUAAAUUGGGAUAUUAUAAAGACAACUUUUCAGGUCCCAAAGCACCCUGGAACUUUAACUUAAAAAAGUGGUCUUCUCCCCUAUAGUACCCUAGCAAUGGUCCUGUGAACCAUACAUAAAACACGGAGCAUUCAACACGGAAAAUGUUAAAAAACUUACAAAUUCACCCUCACAACCAAAAGAGUUGUACCCCCCCAACCUGACUAUCAAUUAUCACAAAAAAAAGGUACAUUUCUUCUUAUUUUUUUAUUACAAGUCUUAGAAUGUUAAAAUAAACAAUGAUGGUGAAUAUACACAUUGAGGGGGACAUUAAACCAAGAUGGACAGGCAGCAAGCGUCAGCGGUGGAGGAGAGGAAGGGGGACGAGAGGUGAGGAAGGGGGAUGAGAGGUGAGGAAGAGGGAGGCAGCAAGCGUCAGCGGUGGAGGAGAGGAAGGGGGACGAGAGGUGAGGUAGAGGGAGGAGAGGGAGGCAGCAAGCGUCAGCGGUGGAGGAGAGGAAGGGGGACGAGAGGUGAGGAAGAGGGAGGCAGCAAGCGUCAGCGGUGGAGGAGAGGAAGGGGGACGAGAGGUGAGGAAGAGGGAGGCAGCAAGCGUCAGCGGUGGAGGAGAGGAAGGGGGACGAGAGGUGAGGAAGAGGGAGGAGAGGAAGGCAGCAAGCGUCAGCGGUGGAGGAGAGGAAGGGGGACGAGAGGUGAGGAAGAGGGAGGAGAGGGAGGCAGCAAGCAUCAGCGGUGGAGGAGAGGAAGGGGGACGAGAGGUGAGGAAGAGGGAGGAGAGGGAGGCAGCAAGCAUCAGCGGUGGAGGAGAGGAAGGGGGACGAGAGGUGAGGAAGGGGGAUGAGAGGUGAGGAAGGGGGAUGAGAGGUGAGGAAGAAGAGGAAGAGAGGUGAGGAAGAGGGAGGAGAGGUGAGGAAGAGGGAGGAGAGGUGAGGAAGGGGGAUGAGAGGUGAGGAAGGGGGAUGAGAGGUGAGGAAGGGGGAUGAGAGGUGAGGAAGAAGAGGAAGAGAGGUGAGGAAGAGGGAGGAGAGGUGAGGAAGGGGGAGGAGAGGUGAGGAAGGGGGAUGAGAGGUGAGGAAGGGGGAGGAGAGGUGAGGAAGGGGGAGGAGAGGUGAGGAAGGGGGAUGAGAGGUGAGGAAGGGGGACAAGAGGUGAGGAAGAGGGAGGAGAGGUGAGGAAGAGGGAGGAGAGGUGAGGAAGAGGGAUGAGAGGUGAGGAAGAGGGAUGAGAGGUGAGGAAGGGGGACAAGAGGUGAGGAAGAGGGAGGAGAGGUGAGGAAGAGGGAGGAGAGGUGAGGAAGAGGGAGGAGAGGUGAGGAAGGAGAGGAAGAGAGAGGCAGCAAGUGUCAGUGGUGAAAGAGAGGUGAAAAAGGGGGAGGAAGGUGAGGACAGAAAGAUUCCAAAAUGUCUUUCACUUCUAGAACAUCUCAAACACUUCCCCUGCUUCCACUAUGCCUCUUCCUCCUCUCCAUCCCUCCUUCCUGUCCAGGGACACCUUUAGUCAGUAGUACAGGUCAUGUAAAAUGACAACAACAUAGAAAUACAUUUACAGAUUAAUAAUACUAACAAUAUUAUAGCCACAGAAUAUUCUACAUGUACAGAUAACGUCUGCAUCCCAAAUGUAACCUAUUCCCUAUAUAGUGCACUACUUUUGGCCAGAGCCCAUAUAGAAAAGGGUGAAGGGUUUGGGACAUAGACCAACUUGUGACCAGUUCACAAGCAAAAACCAAACAAGGUGGUAAAGAAAUAGAUUGUUUUCAUACAGAAGAUAGAUGUUGGUAUGAUGUGACUGCUGGUUUCUUCUUGACACACACACACACACACACACACACACACACACACACACACACACCUGCCUUCUCACUUUCCCUUACAGCAUGUGUGUGUUUGCAGGUAGAUGAGAAGAAAGAAUGAAAGAGAGAGGGAAUGAAAGAGAGAGGUUGCAGUGUCCCUUGGUUUGUAGCUGUGCAACAGAGGCCGAAGGGAAAGAUGCCCACCUGUCAAGUCCACCUUUAAUUUAGACCUGGCACCAAGAGAAAGAGAGAGAGGAGGGAGAGAGACGGACCGACGGGGGGGAUUAGAGUGAGGCGAGGACAGAUACAGGGAAAGAGGAGGAGGGGGAAAAAAAAACUCUCCCUCUCUCUCUCGUUGGCUGUGAGCUUCACUGUAGCAGAGAUAGUAGAGAUGAGAACAGCUUAGAGACCAAAAAGCAGCCGUCAAUCCCCGGAGAUUAACACACACACACACGCGAUUUAAAAAUAAAUAAUAAUAUAGAAUCUGUAUAUGGUCUCCUAACCCAUCUCUCUAAUGACAACUGAACAGGAGGGAGGCAGAGGAUUAUUUUAGGUACUUAUUGACUUAAUCAGCAUCCCAAGUAGAACCCUACAUAGUGCACUACUUUUAUCCAGGGCACAUAGGGAUCUGGUCAAACGUAGUGCACUAUAUAGGGAAUAGGCUGCCAUUUGAGACACAUCCUUAGCCAAUACUACAGGGAACUAGACUGGCCCUAAAACCAACAGAGAGAGAGAGUUAGAGAGUUAGAGAGAGAGAGAGAGAGAGAGAGAGAGAGAGAGAGAGAGAGAGAGAGACAGAGACAGACAGAGACAGAGACAGACAGAGAGAGAGAGAGAGAGACAGAGAGACAGAGACAGAGAGAGAGAGAGAGAGAGAGAGACAGAGACAGACAGAGACAGAGACAGAGAGAGAGAGAGCGUACUGUACUUGUCUGUGUUUGUUGCGUGGUUCCUAGAAAACCACGGCCGGAGCAGUGCAUCACACACACAGAGUUGAUUAUAGUCCACAUAUGGGCAGACCCUGCCCCCACACCAGCGCAGGAUGUCAAUUGGAUGACUACAGGGGUCAGAGGUCAAUAACUCAUCCUGACCAAUGAUAGCUUGCUGUGUCUGUGACGUUAUUUCCACAUCAUCCCUCUUUCAUUAACGCUCUCUGUUCGUCCAUCCAUCAAUCCAUCCAUCCAUCCAUCCAUCCAUCCAUCCAUCCAAUGAAUGUAUCCCCCAGCCGCAGAUCAGGGGAUUAGUAUCUUAGCUAUUAUAUCAUGCAGCGUUAGCAUCAUGCUACACUAGCUCGGAGCUAGCGCUGCCCACAACUUCCUUCUGUAAACGUGGAACAUUUCAUUGUCUAGCCAACAGCAGAGAAUCUCAGUGAUAGAGGGGUAAACCACUCACUACCGCCGACACAACACCCCCAUCUGGCAGUCCAAUCUGUGUACUGCACCUCAACACAGACAGCCAAGAGUGUCGCAAAUGUUUUUGGUGCUGAGAUUCACUUUUUGGCUUUUCCUGACCCUCCAAUCUCGAAAGUCAAAACAUCGCCAACCAUUCAGAUAGUCCAAACAGAAACUACUCCAAGUUGAACCACCAGCUUUAAAUGUGGGACAGAUAGUGGUUAAGAGAAGCUACACUUUUAGUUUUGGGACAGAUAGUGGUUAAGAGAAGCUACACUUUUAGUUUUGGGACAGAUAGUGGUUAAGAGAAGCUACACUUUUAGUUUUGGGACAGAUAGUGGUUAAGAGAAGCU